AGAAGUUGUGGAAGCUUUUAAUUUGAUUUGGUCCAAGUAAAGGAAAAUUAUUAUGGUUUUCAGUUAUAACCGGCAUGAACUGCAUUCACCUGAGAGAUGUAUGAUUGAGAGUGUGGAGUUCAGACCCACAAACUUGAACAUGCUCUCUCUUAUAUUAAAUGGAUUAAGUUUAUUGGAACUACAUGUUAAUGAUAACUAAAACAGUGCAAUAAAG